AAAAAGAUAAGCUAACUAAGCUAUUAGGUUCAUACCCUAAAUAUAAAGGCCAUAAUCCUUUUCUUUUUA
rnacentral:tRNA from 1 species